CAUACAGGGGCAGCAUGCCGACUCAGCUUGGCUACACAAUCACAUUUAGGCUCUUACCUACAUAGGCCUCCAAUAGCAGUGCUUCACGAGAUGACGAUGAUCACAGGCUCAACCAACUAAAACUACAAGCAAUCACAACAAAAUCAGUGCGAUACAUCCUUAAGCAUCACCCCCACACUCACGACAACAACCACCUAUGAUAAAUUCCUGGCCAGGAACUAAGAACUCUACAGGAGGGUGAGACAAGGUGACUCUACACCAAAAUCCCCCACUUGUUUUCCGACAAAAGGGAAACACUUAAGCCCAAACCCACCUUAGAGGUAGGGGUCAACAGAUAGAUCAUGGUCCCUCCUCCUGGGAAUCUAAAAUCGGCCUUCCAGAACAGAAAUAGAUGCACUGAC